rnacentral:rRNA from 1 species
GACGAACGCUGGCGGCGUGCUUAACACAUGCAAGUCGAACGAAGUGGCGCACGGGUGAGUAACGCGUAAUCACCCUGCCCUUCAGAGGGGGACAACAGUUGGACACGACUGCUAAUACCGCAUACUUAAGAAGGUGAUUGCGUCUGAUUAGCUGGUUGGAGGGGUAACGGCCCACCAAGGCGAUGAUCAGUAGCCGGUCUGAGAGGAUGAACGGCCACAGUGGGACUGAGACACGGACCAGACCCCUACGGUAGGCAGCAGUGUGGAUUCUUCCGUGAUGGACGAAAGUCGGACGGAGCAACGCCGCGUGAGUGAUGACGGCCUUCGGGUUGUAAAGCUCUGUUAAUCGGGACGCGGUACCGGAAUAGAAAGCCACGGCUAACUACGUGCCAGCAGCCGCGGUAAUAC